rnacentral:rRNA from 1 species
AUGAACCUGCUCCUCGACGUCUCCGGCCGCCUGCACGACGCACGCGACUUCGUACGCUUUCACGCCGUCUGCCGGCGGUGGCGGAACGCAGCACCGGCGGCGGCCCGCCACAAGUUCUUUCCAUGGAUGCUCUCGCAGCACCCCGGCCGCGGCGUGCUCAUGCACAUCCCCGUGUUCUACUUGGGGAGCGUCGCUCCCGAAGCGAUUUCGACCUAUCACUGCUGCUACGACGGCAACGUUCUCCCGUCGCUCGACGACACAGCUUGGGUGGCCGGCCCGAACGGCGAGGCCGUCUGGCGCUUCGAUUGGCAUCCCAAGCCAACACUCCAUGACAUUGUCACCGGAGCCAUCUGCCCGUUGCCGCACUUCCCCGCUGACAACUAUGAGAUCGUGCGGCGGCUGGGGAACCCCCUUGGCAUCGUGUAUGGCGAUGGCACUGUUUUUCUGUACAGCUUUGACGAACUAAAUAUUCACAUGACUGGCUUCACGGCGGCCGUCCUGCGUCCGGGUGACACGACAUGGGUGAUCAUGGAAAAGAGGUUCUAUGGGUCGGCGACAUACAAGAACAACUGUGCAGCAUAUCACAAUGGCAAGGUCUUUGUGUGGACGCGGAGACACUUCUACUGCUUCAUGACACAGAAUUUAGCAAACAAUGGUGGUGACAUAGACGGCAUCAGGCUCGAGAUGACGGAGGAUAGACCCGAGCACAAACGUUACAUGCGCUAUUACAACUAUGUCUUCGAGUCCUGCGGCAAGCUGUUGUGGGCGUCCGUCUUACUCGAGCAUGAAUGGUACCAUAAAAACAUGGACACCUUGUCCACCAAUGACCCCGUGAUACCAAUGCUGGCGGUGAUGGUGCAUGAAGCGGAAGAAGAAGUGGACAGUGGCAAGAUCAAGAUGCGAUGGGUGGAGAGAGAUGGCCGGAGUUUGGGUGAUCAUGUCAUGUUCCUUGGGUCCCCCACGAGCUUCGCUGUAGACUCCACCCAGCUAGACAUGGACGGUGGGUGCGCCUACUUCGUCUUUUUACAUCGCUUGUACAGGUAUAACUUCAUCACCGGCGAAACCAAACUUGUGGAGUCGCCACGUACCGGAUGGAUUUCCCCUGAUGCACACCUGUGGCUCCGGCCACGACCUGUGAUUUCUCCUAUUGAUGAAAUUCGAGAAAGCCUUAGGAUCCGGCCAAACAGAAAAGAAGACCAAAGAGGAAAAAAAUCUGCAAUUCAGUGGAUUUAUAAGUGGUUUUCAGGAAUUUCGUAG